rnacentral:snoRNA from 2 species
GUACUGAAGGAUGAUCCACGUUGAACACAAAUUCGACACUGAGUCGGAGCAAUAUCCAUGACGCACCGUGU